UGAAUACGAGACGCUAAGGCGUCGAAGUAGUGUAUGUCAUACUUCCAAGAAAAGCUUGCACUGUCAUAGAUAAAAAACGCCUGUACCAUAACCGACACAGGUGGGUAGGUAGAGUAUACUAAGGGGCGCGAGAUAACUCUCUCUAAGGAACUCGGCAAAAUAACUCCGUAACUUCGGGAGAAGGAGUGCCUUAUUCGUAAGGUUGCAAUAACAAGAUCCAAGCAACUGUUUAUCAAAAACACAGGUCUCCGCUAAGUCGUAAGACGAUGUAUGGGGGCUGACGCCUGCCCAGUGCCAGAAGGUUAAAGAAGUUGGUUAGCAAUUGCGAAGCUGAUAACUGAAGCCCUGGUGAACGGCGGCCGUAACUAUAACGGUCCUAAGGUAGCGAAAUCCCUUGUCGGGUAAGUUCCGACCCGCACGAAAGGCGUAAUGAUUUGGAUACUGUCUCGGAGAGGGGCUCGGUGAAAUAGACUUGUCUGUGAAGAUGCGGACUACCUGCACCAGGACAGAAAGACCCUAUGAAGCUUUACUGUAACUUGAAAUUGAAAUUGGACUUUAUUCGCGCAGUAUAGGUGGGAGGCGUUGAUUAUAAUCUUGUGGGAUUAUUGGAGCCAUCAGUGAGAUACCACUCUUGUAAUGUUAGAUUUCUAACUUUGAAUCAUUAUCUGGUCAAAGAACAGUUUCAGGCGGGCAGUUUGACUGGGGCGGUCGCCUCCUAAACGGUAACGGAGGCGUACAAAGGUUUCCUCUGAACGGUUAGAAAUCGUAUCUAGAGUGUAAAGGCAUAAGGAAGCUUGACUGUGAGACCUACAAGUCGAGCAGGGACGAAAGUCGGUCUUAGUGAUCUGACGGUACUGAGUGGAAAGGCCGUCACUCAACGGAUAAAAGUUACUCUAGGAUAACAGGCUGAUCUCCCCCAAGAGUUCACAUCGACGGGGAGGUUUGGCACCUCGAUGUCGGCUCAUCGCAUCCUGGGGCGGUAGUACGUCCCAAGGGUUGGGCUGUUCGCCCAUGAAAGCGGUACGCGAGCUGGGUUCAGAACGUCGUGAGACAGUUCGGUCCAUAUCCGGUGUAGGCGUUAGAAUAUUGAGAGGAGCCUUCUUUAGUACGAGAGGACCGAGGAGGACAUACCUCUGGUGUACCAGUUAUCGUGCCAACGGUAAACGCUGGGUAGCUAUGUAUGGAGUGGAUAACCGCUGAAAGCAUCUAAGUGGGAAGCCCACCUCAAGAUAAGUAUUCC
rnacentral:rRNA from 1 species